UACGUAGGGUGCAAGCGUUUAUCCGGAAUUAUUGGGCGUAAAGAGCUCGUAGGCGGUUUGUCGCGUCUGCUGUGAAAACUGGAGGCUCAACCUCCAGCCUGCAGUGGGUACGGGCAGACUAGAGUGCGGUAGGGGAGAUUGGAAUUCCUGGUGUAGCGGUGGAAUGCGCAGAUAUCAGGAGGAACACCGGUGGCGAAGGCGGGUCUCUGGGCCGUAACUGACGCUGAGGAGCGAAAGCGUGGGGAGCAAACAGG
rnacentral:rRNA from 1 species